rnacentral:rRNA from 1 species
UACGAAGGGGGCUAGCGUUGCUCGGAAUCACUGGGCGUAAAGGGUGCGUAGGCGGGUCUUUUAAGUCAGGGGUGAAAUCCUGGAGCUCAACUCCAGAACUGCCUUUGAUACUGAAGAUCUUGAGUUCGGGAGAGGUGAGUGGAACUGCGAGUGUAGAGGUGAAAUUCGUAGAUAUUCGCAAGAACACCAGUGGCGAAGGCGGGUUGCUGGGCUGACACUGACGCUGAAGCGCGAAAGCUAGGGGAGCGAACGGG